CGAACCCGCAUCUUCUCGUUGGCAAAGAGAAAUUUUACCAUUCGACCAUAUCCGCAAUUUUUGUUCUUAAUACACAAUAUAUCCACACAUAUAUGAUAUAUAUAUAUUUAUUUGGAUCGUAUUUGUGCAGGGUCGGGCCAGAGAUUCUCUUCGGGGUGAUUUAUAUUAUUAAUAUAAUUAAUUGAAAUUGUAUUUUUUUUUUAAUUCAAGAAGUUUGACCCAACUCUAAUUUUUUUUUUCAUUUUAUUUUGGGGACUUAUAUUAAAUUGUAAUGUGUCUCAUAACCGAGAAAAAUUUUUUUUGGGGGGGUCAUUUCGGUUUUGCAACAUUGAAUUUGCAACGUUG
rnacentral:lncRNA from 1 species